AGCAGCCGCGGUAAUUCCAGCUCCAAUAGCGUAUAUUAAAGUUGUUGCAGUUAAAAAGCUCGUAGUUGAAUUUCGGGGUUAGUAGGUUGGUCAUGCCUCUGGUAUGUACUGGUCUCACUGAUUCCUCCUUCCUGAUGAGCCGUAAUGCCAUUAAUUUGGUGUUGCGGGGAAUUUGGACUGUUACUUUGAAAAAUUAGAGUGUUUAAAGCAAGCUAACGCUUGAAUACAUUAGCAUGGAAUAAUGAAAUAGGACGUUCGAUCCUAUUUUGUUGGUUUCUAGGAUUGACGUAAUGAUUAAUAGGGAUAGUUGGGGGCAUUAGUAUUCAAUUGUCAGAGGUGAAAUUCUUGGAUUUAUUGAAGACUAACUACUGCGAAAGCAUUUGCCAAGGAUGUUUUCAUUAAUCAAGAACGAAAGUUAGGGGAUCGAAGACGAUCAGAUACCGUCGUAGUCUUAACCAUAAACUAUGCCGACUAGGGAUCGGAUGAUGUUAAUUUUUAAUGACUCAUUCGGCGCCUUAAC
rnacentral:ncRNA from 2 species